UCUUUUUAAGUACUGUAAUUAGUUCUAAUAAAAUAAUAAGCAUAUGUUCCAUUACCAGUUUCAACUUAUCCUGCUUACAAGACAUCGAUAUCACUCGAAAAUGUUUAGGAAGUGUAAACGUAAAUUUCCCAUGUUUAUCAAAUGCAACAAACUGCUUCUAAUGGAUCGAAUUUUACAGCGGAAACAUUCGUACUCGCUUUUCAGCACUAUAUUGUGAUGCUCGGAUCCAUAGUUAUAAUUGCCACUAGUUUCGUGCCUCGGAUGGGUGGGGAUCAUGUAAGUUAUGUCCUCUAUACAGUAAAGUUUAUAAUAUGCCGGUUAAGAUUAGCGAUCACACACGUAGCUUUGAAUCCGUGAUGUUAAUGUUUGGGUUUUGUUCUCCCUUUGUGAUCAGGGUGACAAGGCACGCGUGAUUCAGACGAUGCUGUUUAUGGCAGCAAUAAACACUUUGAUCCAAACAUUCACGGGACAAGGCUUCCAACAGUGAUGACUUCGUCAUUCGCUUUUACCCUUCCGGUGAUGUCAAUCAUCAAUGAUUAUUCUGAUCGGAAUUUUAGAAGUGAACAUGAGGUAUGUAAAGUUUGAAACAUGUUAUUCAUAGAGGAUUUAACAUCACAUUAAUUUACUUCUUAAAUUGCUUUAAGAAAUUUCAGUUAUAGACUUUGAGAUGAAAAAUACGUGGUGCAAAAAACGUGUAAACCUUACAUACCUGUAGAAGACGUCAUGAUGAAUUUCUGGUUUUGAGGACGGAAUAGAUUGAAGCACGUCCAUGCACUGUUGCGUCAUAUGCAACAAACUGAUGGGGAGUUCUAGGGUUGUGGCAUUAGCAAUGUGACAGGGACCUCAAACUUACAUAGGCCUCACGUCCCUAGAACCCUACCCACUAAUGGAGACUAGAAACUCUUAUGAUCCUCUAACGAGAAUAAUAAAGCCAAUGGAAAUGUUAGCACACAAUUGUUGUACAUAUAACAGACUUCGAGCAAUUUUUGGAACACGUAAAACAUUGUUAAGAAUAAGAUCAUGAGUAUUGGUUUUAAUGGUUGUUGCAUCAAUAUUCUUAAUGGAUAAACCUGUUCCAUUUCCAACUGUGAUUUUAUCAAAACCUUGGAAUGGUGUAACUUGAUUCAAUGUGGUGGCAUCAGCAGUGAUAUGAUGAGAUGCACCAGUAUCAACAAUCCAUGCAUCAUGAGGAAUAUAUUGUUCUAUCUGCUGUGUUGCCAUAGCUGUUAAGUUUGCAGGUGGUUGUUGGCCUUGAAAAACAUAAUUCCCUUUGUGAUAACAUUCAAGAGCUGAGUGACCUUUUUUUCCCACAAAUCUGACACUCCAUUUGAAAUCUAGUAUUUGGUGUAGUAGCAUUUCUGUGAAAACAAUUGACUGCAGUAUGCCCUUUCUUGUUGCAGAUUUGGCACUCAAUCACUGUUGUUGACCUGCUCUCUGUGUUUCCAUUCCACACAUUUGAACCAUUUGACCUUGAAUUGCCAUACGAAAAAUCAGAAGAGUUUCCUAUGUUGUAACCCUUGCUUUUGAAUCCACCAUUUGUCUUGUAAUUAUUGUUACCCUUGUAGUUUGAACCACCAAAAGGUUUCUGCAUGAAAUGAGGUAUUGGACCAGAAUUUGAUGCAUUAGCCAUAAACCCAAAACCAUAGGGAACUUGAGGAUAAACUGGACCAGGAAAUUGCGGAGACAUAGGAGGUUGAGGCAUAUGAGGUUGCUGUGGAUAUUGUUGUGGCAAGACAAAUGGCUGUGGUUAUUGUGGCUGUGGAUAUUGUUGUGGAUAUUGCUGUGGUAAAACAAAUGGCUCAGCAGAAUAUGGAUAUGGAUUAGGAGUUAUAACACCACCAGUGGUUGCAGGUAAAUGACUAUGCCCUGCAGGAUUAGACCCUGAAGCAAAUGAAUUUCCCUGAGUUGACUAAGAACCCUAAACAUAUAAGGCAGAUAGACUUUGAGACCCAACACUUGUGUCUCAUUCAAUCUCUUUUUCAGCUCUAAAUUUUUUCAAGGAAAUGGAUGAUUCUUUGCCAUAUAUCACAGUUCGAAUAGUUGCAUACUCCUUCGGCAAACCAGCUAAACCAGCAAUUAUAACAUCAUUAUCAGAAAUGAACUCUCCAGUAGCAGUUAAUUGUUCUCUUAUACUCUUCAAUCUUAACAGAUAUUUAUCCAUCAAAUCUCCUCAUUUUUGAAUGGUGUACAACUCAAUUUUUAAAUGAUUUACCCUAGUUUUAGACACUGAAGCAAAUCUAUCCACAAGAUUCGACCAAGCCUCACAAGCAGUUAAACAUCCAAGAACAUAUUUAAUAGCCUCAUCAAACAAAGUAGCUAGUAAAAGACUUAGUAAUGGAUAUGUGGAUUCCCAUUCAACAUAUUCAGCAAGUUCAGAAGUAACUCCUCUCUUAGUAUCUAUUACAAAUUUUUGUGGACAACCAAUAGUGCCAUCAAAAUGCCCAAACAAUUUAUGACCUUUCAACACAUAUUUGAACUGAAAAGCCCAUUUCACAAAAUUAUCAUCCUUCAACUUUAUUGUGAUCAUUCCCAGUUUCAACUUUAACACUUGAAGUAGUCAUGAUUUCUUGAUCGAACACAUAGAAUUUGCAAAUAACAAACAAACACCCAAAAAUUUCUGAUAUACGUAUUGAAAGGAAAGACUGAAACUUUCUCACAACCCAAGCAAGACUGAAACUCGCUUAAUACUCAGGAAAAACUGAAACUUUCUUGAUGAAUCUUGCACACAAAUACAACACACAAUUCCAAUUCGGAAAAGAAAACACAAAAUCUUCUAAUCAGGACUGAAACCCAAUUACUCAACAGAAAUUCACACUAUCACUUGAAUUGCAGCUGUGAUUGCAGCCACAAAUAGCCAGAAUACCAACCGCCAGAAAGAACAACAAGGAUCUGCAAUCGCCAGAACUUUUGAACAAACCCGUUGAAAAGACCUUUCAGAAUCCUUGAACUGGAUAGCAGCGAAAGAACUAGGAUCGAAAACGGUAGUGAACCAUGGUCAGCGAUGAUACCAUAUUAACAGUGUUGAAUUGUGGCCAAGUGGCCAUCACCUUUCGGCUAAUAAACAAACAAAGAAAAGAAAAAGAAAGACAAAAUGAUGAGGAAACAUCAUGAUGAGGAGGCAUCAUGAUUAUGCUUUCUUGUAGUUUUUUAAUAACCAUAAUUAUUGUUUUUGUUUCGGGUAGAAGAGAAGAAAGGGAGAGCUCAUUUUUUAGAAGAAAGCAUAUUAAAGAGAGAAGAGGAGAGAGAGAAGGUAGAGCCUUUUGGUUAUAAAAGGCAUUCGAUUAUGCCUUUGGAUGUGGGAGGGGGGGGAGCGGCAGAUGAGAGAGCACAGGGAGAGCAUUCGGCUCUCCCAUUUGAAUAUGAGCUGCUCCUUCCCACCAUUUGUAAUAAUCCCAUUUUGUUAGUAAUCACUCAAUCAAAGAUGUUGGUGCUACUUGUGUAGCUUUUGGGAGAGAAGGAUUUUGAUAUGUGUUUCUUCUUCUCCAUUUGUUUCUUAGUUUGAGUGAGAGCUAUUGGGUGUAUGUGGGAUUUGGGUUUGAGUGUUGAACUCUAUUUGUAAUCUCCUUUUGAUAUUAAUGGAAUUUCCUCGCCGUCUCGGAACUGGAUGUAGGCUUACGCCAAACCAGUAUAAAAAUCCUUGUGUCUUUUGGAUUAUUUGUCUUGUCAUAUUUUGCCGUUAUUAGCUUUGAUUUCAUAUUUGAAGCUUCCGCACAACAAGUGGUAUCAAAGCUCCGGGUUUCGACUUGGAGGCUUUGUACUAGUAUGUCUAUGAAAUCUUCAAAUGACGGUGAAAUAUGUUUUUUGGAAAAAUUCGACUGGAGGAAUGACUUUGGCAUUUGGUCAAUUGGAGAUGCAGAGUUUGGCUGCAAAAUGCGUGGCGUUGAAGAAGGAUAGUAAGGGACUAUGCUGCAGUCAUUGAGCUUGCAGAUUGGAGAAUGGUUUCGGAAACAGCGUGUCUGCUGCAAUGUUGCCGUCGAUGUUGUUGAAGUGUUGGUGUUCGACAGCUGCAGAUGUAGUGUACUGCUUUUGGUGGGUUCUCUGUUGGUCAUCGCUGCACCGGAGGUGUUUGUGGGCUGUUGUCGACGAGUUGAGUGGGAAGGAGAAAAGGUAGAAGCAGUUGAAAAUUGAAAAGAAAAUGUUGGUUCUUUUUCUUUCGGCAUUUGUUUUGGCAGAAGGACAUCAUGAUGACAAAUGAUGUUGUUGGCUGGAAGAAAAGGGAAAAAGGCUAAGGCUAAGUUUUCUUUUCUUUGGCAUUUUUUCAACGGCAGAAAAUUUUUGGUUCUUUUUUCACUCCCAUUAGUUGCCUUUGGAGCAAGUUGAUGGAAACAUUGGAGGAGUUUGUGAGGGCCAAUUUGUUGAGUUCUGCAAGUUUGGAUAGUGAGGCACCACACUAUUUUGGAUACACCACAUGCACUGCAGAACAUUUGUGUGGAACCCUCUUGUAGAAGGCAAGUUAUAUGCUUUCUAACUUUGUUUGGUCUAUGGACAUUUAGUUGGAUUUGUUUGCCACUGCUAUUUGGUUUGUUGGUCUCCAUCAUCUGCAAUUAGUUUUCUUGAAGACUCCAGUUGAGGUAUGGUUUUGGAUCUCCUGCUGAUUAUUUGAAUUUGAAAUUUUUGGUUGUCCUGUUGGUGCUCAUGUGAUGAUGGUAAACUUGAGUGGAGGGCAUAGUUUUUUUGUAUGUGGUAUGUUAGACCUUGUUGCCAAAUUUGUAAUCAGUUUUGACUUGGAGAAUAUGCCGUGCUAUUUGAAUGAGUCUAUUGAUGCAGUUUAAGACCAUGGUGUUUGUAAGCAGGUGGAGUUCGUUCUGUGUCCAACUUUGGUAUGGUGUGCUUGAUCUUUUGUUAGUGAUAUUGAAGAAUUUCAGUUCUUCGUUUGAAUCACUUUUGUUUUGAUCAAGGCACUUAUGGUUUGCAAAUUUGGAGAAUACGGUAGAGAAAUGGUCUACUUUUGUUGGCUUUGGUAUAAUUUGAGUCGAGGUGGAGAUCAUUAUGAGUACCGGAAAGUUUGGGGAAUUUGAUUUAGUUCCCGUUGUCUUUAGUUUGUACUUUGGGUGAUUAUGGUGAUUGUUGAUUCGAUUCUCUGUGAUGGUUUCGGAACUUGGCCAAGGUGGAGAUUGUUGAAUUGUGGCCAAGUGGCCAUCAUCGGCUAAUAAACAAACAAAAGAAAAGAAAAAGAAAGACAAAAUGAUGAGGAAACAUCAUGAUGAGGAGGCAUCAUGAUUAUGCUUUCUUCUUUUGUGGUUUUUUAAUAACCAUAAUUAUUGUUUGUUUAUUAGCCGAAAGGUGAUGGCCACUUGGCCACAAUUCAACAAUCUCCACCUUGGCCAAGUUCCGAAACCAUCACAGAGAAUCGAAUCAACAAUCACCAUAAUCACCCAAAGUACAAACUAAAGACAACGGGAACUAAAUCAAAUUCCCCAAACUUUCCGAUACUCAUAAUGAUCUCCACCUUGACUCAAAUUGUACCAAAGCCAACAAAAGUAGACCACUUCUCUACCGUCUUCUCCAAAUUUAAAUCCUAUGAAGAAAGGGAGAGCUCAUUUUUUAGAAGAAAGCAGAUUGAAGAGAGAAGAGGAGAGAGAAGGUAGAACCUUUUGGUUAUAAAAGGCAUUCGAUUAUGCCUUUGGAUGUGGGGAGAGCGGCAGAUGAGAGAGCACAGGGAGAGCAUUCGGCUCUCCCAUUUGAAUAUGAGUUGCUCCUUCCCACCAUUUGUAAUAAUCCAAUUUUGUUAGUAAUCACUCAAUCAAAGAUGUUGGUGCUACUUGUGUAGCUUUUGGGAGAGAAGGAUUUUGAUAUGUGUUUCUUCUUCUCCAUUUGUUUCUUAGUUUGAGUGAGAGCUAUUGGGUGUAUGUGGGAUUUGGGUUUGAGUGUUGAACUCUAUUUGUAAUCUUCUUUUGAUAUUAGUGGAAUUUCCUCGCCGUCUCGGAACUGGAUGUAGGCUUAUGCCGAACCAGUAUAAAAAUCCUUGUGUCUUUUGGAUUAUUUGUCUUGUCAUAUUUUGCCAUUAUUAGCUUUGGUUUCAUAUUUGAAGCUUCAGCAAUACAAACAGUACAAGAUCAAUGAAUUCCUAUGAAUGAAUAAACUAAAGAAAUCGAAGAAAGAGAAUAACGAGAGAGAAAAGCUUUUCAUUUAUAUUGCUCUAACAGAAAAUGAUUACAUGAUAAAAAUCUAAGUCUCCAAAACAAUAAUUAUAUAGAGACUAGAAUGAGCAGAAUCACAAUAUUGCCUUUCUAACUAAUUCUUAUCUUCUAACAACCUCAACACUCACAAGCUUGACACUUGUCAUUUCUUACAACCACUCCUAACAAAUCCUAACUGUUUAUCUGGUUAAUAUAACGGAUGGCCGACGACCGACACCGAGAUUUUCCCAAACCUUGGUCCUUACUCUCGUAUAAAUUCGAAACGAACAGUAAACAAUUUUCUCGCAAUCGGAAGCACGGCAAACAUGGAUCUGAGAGAAAGCAUCAUCAACCAAAACGACGUCGCAAGGAGGCUGACGAAGCAGCUGGUUCAGACCGAAGGCAAGCAGUCGAACCUCGUGUACUCGCCGCUGUCCAUCCACGUGGUGCUGAGCCUGAUCGCAGCCGGGUCAAAGGGUCCCACCCAGGAGCAGCUGCUCUCAUUCCUCAAGUCAGAGUCCACCGACCACCUCAACUCCUUCGCCUCCCAGCUCCUGCCCUUUAUCUUCUCCGAUGGGUCCCCCGUGGGCGGCCCCAAGCUGGCGUUUGCGAAUGGCGUUUGGGUGCAGAAGCCUCUCCCUCUGAAGCCUUCCUUCAAGCAGGUGGUGGAAGCUUCUUACAGGGCCGCUCUCGUCCUAGUUGAUUUUCAGACCAAUGUAAGCUCCCAAACCCUCUGUCAUGUCGUUUCGAUUGUUUUUGUCGAUGCUGCUCAUGAUCAAAGUCUUUGGUUGUAAUUUCAGACCAAUGUUUCAAUGUCGAUGCUGCUGAUGCUCUUUUGUUCGUUACUGUUUUUGGUUGUAAUUGAUCGAGAUAUGCAGGUUGAUAUCAUUGUUUUCUAACUUGUCGUAACUGUUGUUGGUGCUCAAGGCUGCUCAAGUGGAGUCGGAAGUGAAUUCAUGGGCUGAAAAGGAGACGAGCGGCCUUAUCAAGGAUCUACUUCCUCCCGGGUCACUUGACAGCUUCACCAGGCUCAUCUUUACCAAUGCAUUAUACUUCAAGGGAGCUUGGAAUGAGAAAUUUGAUGCAACAGCUACAAAAGAGCAUGACUUCCACCUUCUCGACGGGAGCACAGUUAAGGCGCCCUUCAUGACCAACAAGAACCAGCAGUAUGUAAGUGCCUUUGACGGUUUCUCAGUCUUAGGGCUUCCUUACAAACAAGGUGAAGACAAGCGGCGCUUCUCCAUGCACAUCUUUCUUCCACAGGAGAAAGAUGGGCUGCCAGCUUUGGUUGAGAAACUUGGCUCUGAGUCCGGGUUUUUAGAUCGCUAUCUUCCCAAACAACCAGUUGCAGUGGGCGACUUCAGAAUCCCAAAGUUUAAGAUCUCAUUUGGGUUUGAAGCUUCCAAUGUCCUAAAGAGUCUGGGACUGGUGCUGCCUUUCGUGGGUGGAGGUCUGACAGAGAUGGUGGACUCGCCCGAGGGUAAGAAGCUAUAUGUUUCCAACAUAUUCCACAAGUCGUUCAUCGAAGUGAAUGAAGAAGGCACAGAAGCUGCAGCUGCUUCUGCCGGCGUUAUAAGUGAUAGGAGGAUGCCCAUGACAUUUGUGGCUGAUCGUCCGUUCCUCUUCACGAUCAGGGAAGAAACGACCGGAACAGUUCUGUUCAUCGGUAACCUGCUCAACCCUCUUGCCGGCUGAGUGUUACAAUCCCCUGGGAAAAGGCAUCAUGUGUACGUAGAAUAAUACGAGAGUAUAGUAAAUAAAAUGUAUGAUCCUUGUAUACAUGUGCUAGGUUUGGUUAUUACCUAAUCACCCUGUACUUGCCGCAGUUGGUCUUGUUUCUCCCAUGUGGCGAUUGUUGCUCGUUCUCCCAUGGCGUUUAUCUAUUUGUACAAUCUUGAUUCUGAAUACUUAUUUUAUGUUGUACUCUGUUUGAACAAUUAAAGUUUUAGCCGACUGCAAACGUCGGUUAAGUGUUAAAGUAUUUGGACAGGGAUUGUCUGCUUUUUCAUUUUUCGUGUCCUUCUGUUUUGUGUGUUCACAGUUAAACUACGUCAAUAUUUUAUAUUAUUUUUUUAUAGAAAUAAUAAGAUAAAAAUAAAUAAUAAUAUAAAAUAUUAACGUGACUUAACUGUAACCACACAAACAGGAGGGCACGGAAGACCACCGGAAGUGGAAGAGCGGACAUUCUUGUCCAAAGUAUUUAAUAUAUAGAAUGUACGAGUGCUAGUGCUGUACCAUAUACAUGGUUGGUGAUGAAAAGGAUUAAACUAUGAAUAUUCUAUAAAAUAUUAUUUACCCUAGGACGAGGAUUUUCUUUGGAUCUUCUUUACGAGGAUCUUAGGAAUUAAUUCAUUUUAACGGUUUAUUGUACAUCGUACGGUCAACUUUCGUUAGAUACUUUUUAUGUUUAAUUUUAAAUAAAUUCAAAAUAAUUUUUCACUGCAUGAUGCAUUGAUUCCUAAAGCACUCGCAAAGAGACUCCAGAUGUUUAGUUCUCCAUGACUGGAGAUGGCCUAAGAUGCUAAACACUUAACACUAACCAAUUUUUCCGGUUAGUUAAAUUGUUUAAUAAAUGCUAUCCACACUCUAAAAUAAUUGACCAUAUUUUCUUGACUCUUUUGUUAGAUUGCAUGAAAUAUUGUUCGAGUAAAUAAUCUCUCAAGUAUCACUCAGACUUCAUAAUGAUUUUGAUUUUGAUUACAUAGUAAGCAUGUCAUUAAGGUCAAAUUUUGAACAAACACCCAAUUACAUAGCACGCAUGUUAUUAUGGUGUAUGCUCAUUGUCACUUUCAAAACUUGACACCUGUCUACUAACAUAACCGAUGGCCGACGACCGACACCUUCCCAAACCUUGGUCCUUACCCUCGUAUAAAUUCGAAACGAACAGUAAACAAUUUUCUCGCAAUCGGAAGCACGGCAAACAUGGAUCUGAGAGAAAGCAUCAUCAACCAAAACGACGUCGCAAGGAGGCUGACGAAGCAGCUGGUUCAGACCGAAGGCAAGCAGUUGAACCUCGUGUACUCGCCGCUGUCCAUCCACGUGGUGCUGAGCCUGAUCACAGCCGGGUCAAAGGGUCCCACCCAGGAGCAGCUGCUCUCAUUCCUCAAGUCAAAGUCCACCGAUCACCUCAACUCCUUCGCCUCCCAGCUAGUGUCCGUGAUCUUCUCCGAUGGGUCCCCCGUGGGCGGCCCCAAGCUGGCGUUUGCGAAUGGGCUUUGGGUGCACAAGCCUCUCACGCUGAAGCCUUCCUUCAAGCAGGUGGUGGACGCUUCUUACAAGGCAGCUCUCGCCCUAGUCGAUUUUCAGACUAAUGUAAGCUCCCAAACCCUCUGUCAUGUCGUUUCGAUAGUUUUUUUUUCAAUGCUGCUCAUGAUCAAAGUCCUGAAUUUUUUUUCCCGAUUUGAUUAGAGAUGUAUAAAUAUUUCCUAAAUUGCAGGCCUGCUGAUGCUCUUUUAUUCUUGUAGCAUUUCAACUAAAUAUUUCCUCUCUAAUCAUUACUGUUUGUGCUUGUUCUUGUGCAUAGCCGUUACGAAAUCGUAUCGAAGAUUUUUUUGUUCGUUACUGUUUGUGGUUAUAAUCUAGGUAUUAAAUAUUGAUAAUAUCGGAAAUAUCGGUAGUCCAGAAACACGGAAAUAUUGAUGGAAAUAUCGGGAUAUUAUCGAUAUGUAUAAAAAUAAUAUGGAAACCACGGAAAUUGUAAGAAAAACUUGGAAAUUUUUAUUGAAACUUUGCAGGAUGUUUAUUUAGUCAAUUAUCUAUUAGUUUAUCACAAAAUAUUGGAAGGAAAUGUAUUACAUAAUAGAUUUAACUGAUUUAAGUUGAUUAUAUAGCGAACUAGCGAACUACCAAACAUUAUGAGUUAGAAAAUAUGUAGUAAUUAAUAAAAGAAGUUUAAACACACAGUCACCGACUAUUAAAAAUUGUACAUGUAAAAGCUGUAAAAGUUGAAUUAUUUAGAUGCUUUUUUUUCUUACAUGCCACCCACACACACACACACACAGACUCUCACACGCCAACACACACGCACACACAGAUCACACACACAUCACACACACAGACAGAGACUGAGGUCUCUCUUUCUCGAUCCUUCUCUCUUCUCUCUCGAUCCUUCUCCCUUCUCUUCGACAGAGACUGAGGUCUAUCUCUCUCUCGAUCCUUCUCUCUUCUCUCCCUUCUCCAUUCUCCCACACACACACCCAGAUCUCUCGAUCUCUCUUCUCCCUUCUCCCACACACACGCACAGAGACCUCGCCCCUCCCCCCUCGUCAUCGUCUCCACCGCAAAUCUAGGUCUUUGAACGUAAAUUGCAGGCCUGCUGAUGCUCUUUUAUUCUUGUAGCAUUUCAACUAAAUAUUUCCUCUCUAAUCAUUACUGUUUGUGCUUGUUCUUGUGCAUAGCCGUUACGAAAUCAUAUCGAAGAUUUUUUGUUUGUUACUAUUUGUGGUUAUAAUCUAGGUAUUAAAUAUUGGUAAUAUCGGUAGUCCAGAAACACGGAAAUAUUGAUGGAAAUAUCGGGAUAUUAUCGAUAUGUAUAAAAAUAAUAUGGAAACCACGGAAAUUGUAAGAAAAACUUGAAAAUUUUUAUUGAAACUUUGCAGGAUGUUUAUUUAGUCAAUUAUCUAUUAGUUUAUCACAAAAAAAUUGGAAGGAAAUGCAUUGCAUGAUAGAUUUAACUGAUUUAAGUUGAUUAUAUAGCGAACUAGCGAACUAGCAAACAUUAUGAGUGUAGAAAAUAUGUAGUAAUUAAUGAAAGAAGUUUAAACACACAGUCACCGACUAUUAAAAAUUGUACAUGUAAAAGCUGUAAAAGUUGAAUUAUUUAGAUGUUUUUUUUUCUUACAUGCCAUCCACACACACACACACACACAGACUCUCACACGCCAACACACACCACGCAUACACAGAUCACACACACAGACAGAGACUGAGGUCUCUCUCUCUCGAUCCUUCUCUCUUCUCUCUCGAUCAUUCUCCAUUCUCUCUCGACCUAGACUGACUCUCUCUCUCUCUCUCUCUCUCUCUCUCUCUCUCUCUCUCUCUCUUUCCCACACACACACAGAUCUUUCGAUCUCUCUUCUCCCUUCUCCCACACACACGCACAGAGACAUCGUCCUUCGUCAUCGUCAUCGUCUCCCACACACACGCACAGAGACCUCGCCCCUCGUCAUCGUCUCCACCGCAAAUCUAGGUCUUUGAACGUAAAUUGCAGGCCUGCUGAUGCUCUUUUAUUCUUGUAGCAUUUCAACUAAAUAUUUCCUCUCUAAUCAUUACUGUUUGUGCUUGUUCUUGUGCAUAGCCGUUACGAAAUCGUAUCGAAGAUUUUUUGUUCAUUACUGUUUGUGGUUAUAAUCUAGGUAUUAAAUAUUGGUAAUAUCGGAAAUAUCGGUAGUCCAGAAACAUGGAAAUAUUGAUGGAAAUAUCGGGAUAUUAUCGAUAUGUAGAAAAAUAAUAUGGAAACCACAAAAAUUGUAAGAAAAACUUGAAAAUUGUUAUUGAAACUUUGCAGGAUGUUUAUUUAGUCAAUUAUAUAUUAGUUUAUCACAAAAAAUUGGAAGGAAAUGCAUUGCAUGAUAGAUUUAACUGAUUUAAGUUGAUUAUAUAGCGAGCUAGCAAACAUUAUGAGUAGAAAAUAUGUAGUAAUUAAUGAAAGAAGUUUAAACACACAGUCACAGACUAUUAAAAAUUGUACAUGUAAAAGCUGUAAAAGUUGAAUUAUUUAGAUACUUUUUUUUCUUACACGCCACCCACCCACACACACACACACACUCUCACACGCCAACACACACGCACACACAUACACACAUCACACACAGACAGAGACUGAGGUCUCUCUUUCUCGAUCCUUCUCUCUUCUCUCUCGAUCAUUCUCCCUUCUCUCCGACAGAGACUGAGGUCUCUCUCUCUCUCUCGAUCCUUCGCUCUUCUCUCCCUUCUCCAUUCUCCCACACACACACACAGAGAUCUCUCGAUCUCUCUUCUCCCUUCUCCCACACACACGCACAGAGACAUCGUCCCUUGUCAUCGUCAUCGUCUCCCACACACACAUACACAGACCUCGCCCCUCGCCCCUCGUCAUCGUCUCCAUCGCAGAUCUAGGUCUUUGAAUGUCAAAGUUUCGAGCGCACCUCAAAUCCAGGCAAUCUGAUUCUGACGCUGUAGUCGUCGCCGCCACCACCAACUUCCUAAGCCAAGAAUGGAGAACCUGAUCUCGUUGGUGAACAAAAUCCAGAGGGCUUGUACUACUCUAGGGGACUAUGGCGAAGGUAGUGCAUUCGUCGUCGCCGUCGUCGCCAUCGCCGUCAGUGGUCAGAUCAACUCCCGGUCCCUCACCUUCUUACCUCUUCGAUUGAUUCAUGCAUAUGAAUUGUGGUUGUGUUUUCAAUCGCUCUGUAGCUUAGAUCUUGAUCUUAAUCAUGUUUUUGCAAGGUUUUUGGGAUGAAAUCGGCUCGGGAAUCGGCACACCCAUUUCCGGCGUUCUUCUCCGAGUAGCCAGUUCCAAAAAUAUCGUGAUAAUUUCGGAAAUAUUACGAUAUUAUCGAUAGUAUAGCUAUAUUUUGACGAAAACCCUUUGGAUACCUAUUAAAAUAUCGGUCCGGCGAAAAACCGAUAAUAUCGACGAUAUAUUGGCGAUUUUGUUCCUUGGUUAUAAUUGAUCGAGAUAUGCAGGCUGAUAUCAUUGUUUUCUAACUUGUCGUAACUGUUGUUGGUGCUCAAGGCUGCUCAAGUGGCGUCGGGAGUGAAUUCAUGGGCUGAAAAGGAGACGAGCGGCCUUAUCAAGGAUCUACUUCCUCCCAGGUCACUUGACAGCUCAACCAGGCUCAUCUUUACGAAUGCAUUGUACUUCAAAGGAGCUUGGACUGAGAAAUUUGAUGCAUCAGCUACAAAAGAGCAUGACUUCCACCUUCUCGACGGGAGCACAGUUAAGGCGCCCUUCAUGACCAGCAAGAGGAAGCAGUAUGUAAGUGCCUUUGACGGUUUCUCAGUCUUAGGGCUUCCUUACAAACAAGUUGAAGACAAGCGGCGCUUCUCCGUGCACAUCUUUCUUCCAGAGGAGAAAGAUGGGCUGCCAGCUUUGGUUGAGAAACUUGGCUCUGAGUCCGGGUUUUUGGAUCGAUAUCUUCCCAAACAACCAGUUGCAGUGGGCGACUUCAGAAUCCCAAAGUUUAAGAUCUCAUUUGGGUUUGAAGCUUCCAAUGUCCUAAAGAGUCUGGGACUGGUGCUGCCUUUCGAGGGUGAAGGAGGUCUGACAGAGAUGGUGGACUCGCCCGAGGGUAAGAAGCUAUAUGUUUCCAGCAUAUUUCACAAGUCGUUCAUCGAAGUGAAUGAAGAAGGCACAGAAGCUGCAGCUGCUUCUGCCGGCGUUAUAAGUCAGAGGAGUAUGCCCAUGACAUUUGUGGCUGAUCAUCCAUUCCUCUUCACGAUCAGGGAAGAAACCACAGGAACAGUUCUGUUCAUCGGUAACCUGCUCAACCCUCUUGCCGGCUGAGUGUUACAAUCCCCUGGGAAAAGGCAUCAUGUGUACGUAGAAUAAUACGAGACUAUAGUAAAUAAAAUGUAUGAUCCUUGUAUACAUGUGCUAGGUUUGGUUAUUACCUAAUCACCCUGUACUUGCCGCAGUUGGUCUUGUUUCUCCCAUGUGGCGAUUGUUGUUCGUUCUCCCAUAUGGCGUUUAUCUAUUUGUAGAAUCUUGAUUCUAAAUACUUAUUUUAUGUUGUACUCUGUUUGAACAAUUAAAGUUUUAGCCGACUGCAAACGUCGGUUGCGUGUUAAAAGUAUUUAAUUUAAUAUAUAGAAUGUACGAGUGCUAGUGCUCUGUACCAUAUACAUGGUUGGUGAUCAAAACGAUUAAAACUCUCAAUAUUCUAUAAAAUAUUAUUUAACCUGGGACGAGGAUCUUCUUCAGAUGUUCUUUGUGAAGAUCUUAGGAAUUAAUUUAUUUUAACGGUUCAUGGUACAUUGUGUGAUCAGCUUUCGUUAUAUAUUUUUUUGUUUUUAAUUUUAAAUAAAUUCAAAAUAAUUUUUGACUGCAUGAUGAUUGAUGAACACAUAUAAUGCAUUGAUUCCUAAAGUACUCACAAAGAGAAUCCAGAUGUUUAGUCCUCUAUGACUGGAGAUGGCCUAUGCUAAACACUUAACACUAACCAAUUUUUCCGGUUAGUUAAACUCCUUAAUAAACGUUAUCCACACUCUAAAAUAAUUGACCAUAUUUUCUUGAUUCUUUUGUUAGAUUGCAUGAAGAGUUUUUUAGACUCUGAAUAAUAUCUCCCAAUUGCUUAACAUAGAAUUAAAUAGAGUAUCGCUAUAACUAGAGCAUGAUUUGUUUCUGUGUCUUUGAUGCCCUUUGCUCGAGAAAAUUUAGUAUAUGAACAACAUACUAUGUGUUAUUACGGCCACACACGAUAAUCAAGACUAUUUGUUUAAUACUUAAGCUCACUUGUGGUCCCAUUAUGUAUAAAAAAAAAUCUACAUACAGCCGUUUGCACACAAGAAAUCGUUUAUUGACUUUAAUUGAGCUUAAAUAAUAAUCAUCCGUUCGUGUAAAAGCUAAAAUUUAUCUUAUUACGUGACUGAUUUAAAAUACUGUAAAUACUGAUUUAAAAUUACCUCAUUGUCACCUUGUGUCUCAUUCUCGUAGAAUUUGGAAUUAUUCACAUUGUUUAGUAACGUAAGAUAUUUCAGUGCAUGAAAAUGUCGUUACAUUAGUAAAAAGGAACUGGAGCGCCUGCUGACCUCGUUCAAACAGACGGUGUGGGUUUCAAGUGGCAGACGCGAAAUUUAAACCGUUAAUUUAAUGGUGGUUAUCUCUCCCCCUUGUCACGACUCCCAUCCCAUGCAAUGCUGCAAAGUCACAAGCACCCAUCGUUUGGUUAUAAUAUUACAACAGUACCACCAUGGAAACACAAUCUUAAGCAAUCUCUAGUACUCAUAAUGUUAUUGAAGUUUUGCACUAAGAAUAGUUACUAAACAGUGAUUAGACAGUCGGAUAAGAGAUAGGGUUUAUGAUGUGAUUUGGAUGUUCCACCGUCUGCCACUCAAAGUGUCCUACCCACCAAACAUAUCUUGGAAAAUAAUUUAGUUUGAUACAAAGAAUCAUAAUUUCUAUUUAUCAUUGACGUAAUCAAUCAUUUAGUUAUAAAGCAAUCAUCGAAUGUUUUUGAUCAAAUCUGUACUUAUUGGGAUAUUCAUGCUUAAAAUCUUCCUUUAGUUAUAAAACAACAAUAUUUUUAUUAUCUUUAGAAUUUUGUAAUACGUUUAUUUAAUUAGUAACUUUGACGUUUUAAAAUUGAAAAAUCAAUAUUUAAAUGCAAAGUUGUCUGUUUUGAAUAAUCUCUAACAAUAUUUUCACUUGUAAACGAGUAAAACUGGUUUAUUUUGUACACAAUUAGAUAUUGAGAGUUGAAAUUAUAAAUAUUAAAUUCUUGCUAACAUAUUAUCCUAACCAUUUAAAAUGUUUGUAUACUCGAAGAUUAUGAAAAAUUGAAUCAACCCAUAUUAUUAUUAUGGCUGUCGACAUCUUUUAUCGUAGGAUAGCCAUCAAGUCACACCACAUCCAGAAAGAGAAAUCCAUCCAAAAAUUAGGAAAACGAAAGGAAAUUCCUUAUUUUCCUCCGUGGAGUCAUCCCUUCUCCCCACCACCAAAGUCCCUGCUGAAAAGAAACGGAUGGCACAAUCGUGAUUAUCACAAACAGGAAUGUCAAAUUGUAGCAAGAUAAUGGUCAGCACCGUUACAAAUAAGUGGAAGUUCCUCGAAGAGUAAGAGAACACGACAAUCAUAACGUAAUCUAUCUCUUCACUUUCUCAAUCCUUUUUUAUCUUCUUUUUUUUUUCUGGGAUCCUUGUACUUCUCGUAAAUAUUAAGAAUUUAAUUCAAAAGAAAGGAACUUUCUCUUUCAUUGCUUGCAUCUUUUAUUCAGAUUUUUUACUUUCCUUUCCUUGCAGUUGCUUGGAAGAAACCAAACUCAGAAGACCUUUGUUCAGUUCAAUCCGUUAAUAUAUAUAUGGUGUUGGUGAUUUACCAGAAGUGUUAGUGCUUCAACCGAGAAGAAGAAGCUUUUAGUCUUCAGAAAUUCAGAGAAAAGAUAAGGAAGUGGAAGAGUGAAGGAAAAGCAAAUCAAAAGAUGGGAGAAAAUGCUCCGCCUCCUCCACCACAGGUGGUUGCUCGGCCGUCUCAGAUGCCUCUUGGGGCGGCGAAGGGUCCCAUUUGGACUCCGACUGAGCAGCUCCACAACCUUCAGUAUUGCAUCCACUCCAACCCCUCUUGGCGUUAGUCUCUCUCUGUUUCUGUUAUUUCUUCGUUCUGGGUUUCUAUAUUUUUUGAGUAAAAAGCUGAUUAAAGUUGUGCUAUUUUAAUGGAUUGGUUUAAAAGUUGAAGCUUUUGGCACUACUACUUAUUUAGUUACUUAUUUAGUUUACUAGUUUACUUUUUAUUCCUAAUUUUGCAAAUUACUUUUACUUUUUUUUGUUUCGGAUUCUCUAAUUUAUUGUGUUCGAAUCUUUUUAAGUACUGUAAUUAGUUCUAAUAAAGUAAUAAGCAUAUGUUCCAUAACCAGUUUCAACUUAUCCUGCUUACAAGAAAUCGAUAUCACUCGAAAAUGUUUAGGAAGUUUAGGAAGUGUGAAUGUAAAUUUCCCAUGUUUAUCAAAUGCAACAAACUGCUUCUAAUGGAUCGAAUUUUACAGCGGAAACAUUCGUACUCGCUUUUCAGCACUAUAUUGUGAUGCUCGGAUCCAUAGUUAUAAUUGCCACUAGUUUCGUGCCUCGGAUGGGUGGGGAUCAUGUAAGUUAUGUCCUCUAUAUCGUAAAGUUUAUAAUAUGCCGGUUAAGAUUAGCGAUCACAAGUAGCUUUGAAUCCGUGAUGUUAAUGUUUGGGUUUUGUUCUCCCUUUGUGAUCAGGGUGACAAGGCACGCGUGAUUCAGACGAUGCUGUUUAUGGCAGCAAUAAACACUUUGAUCCAAACAUUCAUCGGGACAAGGCUUCCAACAGUGAUGACUUCGUCAUUCGCUUUUACCCUUCCGGUGAUGUCAAUCAUCAAUGAUUAUUCUGAUCGGACUUUUAGAAGUGAACAUGAGGUAUGUAAAGUUUGAAACAUGUUAUUUCAUAGAGGAUUUAACAUCACAUUAAUUUACUUCUUAAAUUGCUUUAAGAAAUUUCAGUUAUAGACUUUGAGAUGAAAAAUACGUGGUGCAAACUUUACCAGUUGAUGCAGAUCAAAUCAAAACGUGUAAACCUUACAUACCUGUAGAAGACGUCAUGAUGAAUUUCUGGUUUUGAGGACGGAAUAGAUUGAAGCACGUCUAUGCACUGUUGCGUCGUGUGCAACAAACUGAUGGGGAGUUCUAGGGUUGUGGCAUUAGCAAUGUGACAGGGACCUCAAACUUACAUAGGCUUCACGUCCCUAGAACCCUACCCACUAAUGGAGACUAGAAACUCUUAUGAUCCUUUAACCAGAAUAAUAAAGCCAAUGGAAUUGUAUUCCAGGCAGCAACCCCUUAAGCAAUAGGAAUUAAUCCGGUUUCACUCUUCCUUGUGGCACAAAGAAUAGCUAACUAAUUAAAUCACUAACCCUAGUUCAUUCGGUUACAACUAUGCAAACCAAUUAGGGUUGGACUAUAUUACUUGACUCAAACACAUUGAUGAUUUAUGUGUAUGAUUGCAGAGGU
rnacentral:lncRNA from 1 species